rnacentral:rRNA from 1 species
AUUGAACGCUGGCGGCAGGCCUAACACAUGCAAGUCGAGCGGAUGAAGGGAGCUUGCUCCUGGAUUCAGCGGCGGACGGGUGAGUAAUGCCUAGGAAUCUGCCUGGUAGUGGGGGAUAACGUCCGGAAACGGGCGCUAAUACCGCAUACGUCCUGAGGGAGAAAGUGGGGGAUCUUCGGACCUCACGCUAUCAGAUGAGCCUAGGUCGGAUUAGCUAGUUGGUGGGGUAAAGGCCUACCAAGGCGACGAUCCGUAACUGGUCUGAGAGGAUGAUCAGUCACACUGGAACUGAGACACGGUCGAGACUCCUACGGGAGGCAGCAGUGGGGAAUAUUGGACAAUGGGCGAAAGCCUGAUCCAGCCAUGCCGCGUGUGUGAAGAAGGUCUUCGGAUUGUAAAGCACUUUAAGUUGGGAGGAAGGGCAGUAAGUUAAUACCUUGCUGUUUUGACGUUACCAACAGAAUAAGCACCGGCUAACUUCGUG